AUGACGCCAGUCGACUACAUUAGGCAGGAAAAUAUCGAUACAGUGGGUCUGCAAGAGACGAUUCGUGAGGACUUCUCCAUGCAGGAACUCCAGGGCCUGUCCCGGCACCUGUUCGCAUUGCAAUGGCUCCCGGCGGCUGGACUGUCUAGGGGCAUCUUGCUGGGGGUCAGGGAGGAUUUCCUCUCGGUCGAGGAUAUGGAUCGAGGGGAAUUCUUACUUAGUAUGGCUGUCACUGACCGACGUAUGAACCUCAGUUGGGAGGUGAUCAUUUUCUAUGACCCGGCUAAUCACAGGCGGUCGGCGGACUUCAUGGCCGAAUUAAAGGAUUAUUAG
rnacentral:rRNA from 1 species